UUCUAUGCGCAAACAUAUUUAGCAUAAAUUAUCUCUUUUAUUUUCUUUGAUGGAUCUAGAAUGCCUACCAAUAGCUGUAACUAUUUUUCUAUUUUUAAAAUUAAACAUUUAAUAACCACCAAUAACAUUUUUGAGUGCUUUAAAAAUAGUGUCAAAAUAGAUCAUAUAAUUUCAGUCAGUCAAGGAUGUGAACAUUUUACCUAUAGCCUUAUGUUGACUUUCCACGAAAUGUUUUUAAAAUCUUGCCAAGUACUUAAAGACCACAGUUUCAUCAUUCACAGGCAGCCUAGAAUCAUAGAGUAACACUGCGGUUAUAAACAAUGUUUCUUUUUGUUGUUGUUCUUGUGACACCCUUCCUCCUUCAAAAAUAUACGAUAUAUUCAGUAAUAUGUUUUUCACCAAAGUAGUGGUUUAAGUACUUGCUUGAUUUCAGUUUAAGUGAAAUACCUAAUAUUUAAAAUUAUUUCCUUUGGUGUUUUUAAUAUCUGAAUUCAAAUGAACAAGAUUUAAAAAUCUUGUUAUGGCUCAAUAUAGACAGCAAAACAUAUGAUCAAAAUGAAAGUAUGAUUUUACAUCCUCAGGCCAGUGGCUUAUCUACUGGAGCAUGUUCGGUCCCUGGUGUGGCACAGAAACAUUCAAUUUCAUUCUUGCUUCAUGAAGAAAUAUCACCGUAUAAAUGGUCCAUGUAGCAAUUUGACCAUUUACAAUUGAGGGGCCACUUUAAACCAGAGUAACAUACCCAAGAGAGUCAUACCGACCACCCCCAAAAAAAUAACAGGUUUAUGCAGUAGUUUCAGGCACCAGAGGGAACAGCUUCUUCACAGAUAACAACUUAAAAUGAAGUAGCAUGUUCCAAAAAGAACAAAAUGUCUCCUUAGAAUGAACAAGUAAGUUGGUUUGCUAAAAGGCGCAGUGAAUUUCCUCCAAAAAUAUUGUGGCUAACUGAUCUUAUUUCACUUCUACCCUAAAUCGUCUCUACUUUGACAUGCAGUGAACAUGUUUGAGGAAUUUCAGUAAUUUUAAAAUGAAACGUUUUAUUCAUUAGGCUAAUUCAUAUUCUAUUUUAAAAAGACAUGAUGACACAACAAAUAAAAUACAUUGUUUUACUGAAAACUAUAUUAUAGGCUAGCCCAGGAAUUCAGAAGCAUUUCCACCUUUGUAAGUUUGUGUGAUAGUUGAGUCAGACCAAAAGAGUUAACAGAAUAAUUUGAGAAACACUAGCCCCAGCAUCUUGAAAUGAAUGGCAAGACACAGAAGCCUACAGCCAAAGGUAACGAAGAGAGUCUAAAAACUCAAAACGUAUCUAAAAGCUGUGAAGUAGAAGGCCUAGAGACUGCAUGGAAUGAUGAGGACUGCCGUGAACUCUGAAGUGCAUAAUCAUGUGAAAAAAACAAGUGCUAUUUGGAAGAAACAGAUUGUGUUAAUUUGGAAGUAGCUGGAUGCCAGUUUUCUGAGAUUUGUCCAAACAUGGGUGAGUUUACAUGUUGCUAAAGGAUUUUGCCAACAUCAAAAUGUUUUUGUUUAUUAGUUAAGACAUACAAUUCAAAACUCUUUGGC